UGGGGAAUAUUGCACAAUGGGCGCAAGCCUGAUGCAGCCAUGCCGCGUGUGUGAAGAAGGCCUUCGGGUUGUAAAGCACUUUCAGCGGGGAGGAAGGCGAUAAGGUUAAUAACCUUGUCGAUUGACGUUACCCGCAGAAGAAGCACCGGCUAACUCCGUGCCAGCAGCCGCGGUAAUACGGAGGGUGCAAGCGUUAAUCGGAAUUACUGGGCGUAAAGCGCACGCAGGCGGUCUGUCAAGUCGGAUGUGAAAUCCCCGGGCUUAACCUGGGAACUGCAUUCGAAACUGGCAGGCUAGAGUCUUGUAGAGGGGGGUAGAAUUCCAGGUGGAGCGGUGAAAUGCGUAGAGAUCUGGAGGAAUACCGGUGGCGAAGGCGGCCCCCUGGACAAAGACUGACGCUCAGGUGCGAAAGCGUGGGGAGCAAACAGG
rnacentral:rRNA from 1 species